CAAUGAAGGAAGUAUGGUAAUGCAUGUGCACAUAAAUUGAAUUGAGUCUUUAGGCCUGCCCUCUCUGAUGCCAUUCGGCUUUGAUUUUGGGGCAUGGUUCCGCAGUAAAACA